GUGCCAGCCGCCGCGGUAAUACGAAGGGUGCAAGCGUUACUCGGAAUUACUGGGCGUAAAGCGUGCGUAGGUGGUGGUUUAAGUCUGUUGUGAAAGCCCUGGGCUCAACCUGGGAAUUGCAGUGGAUACUGGGUCACUAGAGUGUGGUAGAGGGUAGCGGAAUUCCCGGUGUAGCAGUGAAAUGCGUAGAGAUCGGGAGGAACAUCCGUGGCGAAGGCGGCUACCUGGACCAACACUGACACUGAGGCACGAAAGCGUGGGGAGCAAACAGGAUUAGAAACCCCGGUAGUCCCGAAA
rnacentral:rRNA from 1 species